rnacentral:lncRNA from 1 species
ACUCAAACCAGCUGUAUUAAGGAAGGUGCAAGCUUUUGGGAUUUCUGUUUGGAUUUAGUUUAGGUUCAAAAUUGGAUUUAGUUUAGGUUCAAAAGAGCACGCACAGAUCCUGAGUGUUGUCAAGCACCUGUGACUGGGAAACGGAGGCGUCCGAUCCGUAUUGGAGUCAAUUCGCCACUUAAUUGAACACAGCCUCGAAGGGAAGGGCCAUAUUUGUGGGCCUGUCUAACAAUUAAGAGUGACCACAUGGAAUGGGGGAUGAAAGGGUUAAAGAAGAACAAAUAUUGAAAACAGCUUUUCUAUGAACAAACUGCAGGCAGCUGCUGCUUUGCAAGGGGAACUUUUUGGCUGCCAUUUCUGGAUGUCAAGGCUGCAGAUACACUGGUCAGGACCCUGGGUAGAGAGAGAUGCGUCAGAAUGCGGCUCCUUUCAGAAAGGCUUCUCCGGAGGUUGGUGAGGUCAGCUGACUACUAGAAGACAGAUCUAUUUGAAGAUUUUUGUGGUGGUCUUUACUACUCCAGAGAUUUACAGCUGAUGAAAAAUGGAGAAGUACAUGACCCUACCCUGCUGUUGGACAUGCUACCCAAGGAUCAUGACUGACAACUUUUUAGCAUCACUAUUGCUUAUUUAAUAAAUGUGCAGUACUACUUCAAUAAACCUGGAAUCAUAAAAUUUUAGAGAACAAACCUUAAAUUACAU